UACGUAGGGGGCAAGCGUUGUCCGGAAUCAUUGGGCGUAAAGAGCGUGUAGGCGGCUCGAUAAGUCUGCUGUGAAAGUCCAGGGCUCAACCCUGGAAGGCCGGUGGAAACUGUCGGGCUAGAGUCCGGAAGAGGCGAGUGGAAUUCCUGGUGUAGCAGUGAAAUGCGUAGAUAUCAGGAGGAACACCGAUGGCGAAGGCAGGUCUCUGGGCUGACACUGACGCUCAUGCACGAAAGCGUGGGGAGCAAACGGG
rnacentral:rRNA from 1 species